AGGCAAUAGUAGCCGAAAAUAUUUCCAUAUGUUUUGGCCUUGCUUUCAGUCUCCGUUCGUGGAAUAAAAGUCACAAAAUGUUUGUCAUCCAUGGCUAUAUUGGUGUUCGUGUGAAUCCCCAUGUUUGCAUUGAUCUUUCUACCGAACGGCGGCUUGUUCGGUAGUUUCGAAUUUAUGGAUGUCUGGAGGUCUCAGCGGUGUUUGCCUAGUUGAGUGUCCGAUUUUAGUUCCAGACACUCGACGGCAAAACACCGCUGUUCGGGAGAUUAAGAUGGCCGCCGCCGCGUGUAAAACUUCCGAAAUGGCGGCCACCCAGGAACUUAACAGAGCGUUCGUGAGUUUCCACUUAAGAGGUAAUAAAACGAAUUGGGAGGUUGAUUGAAGCCACACUUUGCAUCAGGGUGGUCUGGUGUUCGGUAGAUUUAGUUCGUACGAUGAAUGCGGUGGGUCAAUAUAGUUUUAUGGGGACAAUCAAACGAAUGCUUCAUACACUGAAUAUAUAUAUAGCAGCAAAGUACCGAAAGCAUUUUAAACACCCAGUUUUGCAGACAGCUCAAUGUCCUUUGCUGCAUAAGUUAUAUAGUUCAAAGUCUCUGCAAUAUUAUAGUAUAU